CCUACGGGAGGCAGCAGUAGGGAAUAUUGGACAAUGGGUGCGAGCCUGAUCCAGCCAUGCCGCGUGCAGGAAGAAGGCCUUCUGGGUUGUAAACUGCUUUUGCCGGGGGAUAAAAGACCCAUGCGUGGGGAAUUGAAGGUACCCGGUGAAUAAGCCACGGCUAACUACGUGCCAGCAGCCGCGGUAAUACGUAGGUGGCGAGCGUUGUCCGGAUUUAUUGGGUUUAAAGGGUGCGUAGGCGGCCCCGUAAGUCAGUGGUGAAAUACGGCAGCUCAACUGUCGAGGUGCCAUUGAUACUGCGGGGCUUGAGUACAGUCGAGGUAGGCGGAAUUGACGGUGUAGCGGUGAAAUGCUUAGAUAUCGUCAAGAACACCGAUAGCGAAGGCAGCUUGCUAGGCUGUAACUGACGCUGAGGCACGAAAGUGCGGGGAUCAAACAGGAUUAGAUACCCUGGUAGUCCGCACAGUAAACGAUGGUCACUCGGUGUUGGCGGUACACGGCCAGCGCCUUAGCGAAAGCGUUAAGUGACCCACCUGGGGAGUACGCCCGCAAGGGUGAAACGUCAAAGAGUAGUAGACGUGAGAGACGCGACGACGACGACGACGGAGGAGGAG
rnacentral:rRNA from 1 species